AGAAAAAAAUAAAACAAUUGUUACUGCCUGCAAUAACAACAACAACAAUGUUUGUUGUAACACACGAUUAAGUUUUGAUGUCUGAAGCGAACUGCAAACUGUUGUGAUUGGCUGAAGUUUGGCGGUGUGGCGUUGUAACUCGUGUACGAGUUGGAGGGAAUUGACACAAAUCUACAUUUUCCCCGUAACUGAUGCUUAUAAAAGGCAAACAAAAAAAUCCUGACGUCGCCGAAUGCAUCUAAAUAGACAGACAAAUGCCACUUUAUACCGUAUUAAUAGUACACAUAUGAAAGCCGGUUUUUUAUUCCCCUCAAAAAGAUAACCAUUAAUACGGGGGAAUUGUAAAUUCAUUUUGUUAGCACAAUGCUAGCGACAGUAAUGAAUCCAGCAGUUCAUACGUCAGACAGUCAUUCGGUUAGUGAGUGCAACAGGCAUCUUCUUAUCAGCUGAGUUGUGAAAAUAUUGCACCUGUGUUUAAGAGAACACUCACUGCCUUCGAUAAGUGUCAUAGAUUGGUGAAAGCUGUCGGCGUUUAUCGAAACAAGUUUCGAGCAUUUUCUUCGUACAAUCGUUAUCAAUUGGUUAAGAGCCUGCAAAUGCACAACUUUAAAUGCAGUGAGCAGUAGAUCAAUGAACAUAAGCUCUGCUGAGAAUCGAAUCUAUGCACGCUGCCGACGCUGAUUUCAACAUCAAAAUAGUUCUUUUUCAGAGAAUCCGUAAUGUUUUAUGGGGAACAUUAUGGUCUUCACAAAAAUUUAUUUUAUUAAUGUUUUCGAAGUGCCGGCUUCAAGUGGAAAAAUAAAGUUGGAGAUAACUAGAGUCUGGAUUUUUAAGCAAAAUCGAAAUAUAUAUAUAUCUAAUAUUU